rnacentral:rRNA from 1 species
CCUACGGGAGGCAGCAGUGAGGAAUAUUGGUCAAUGGGCGCGAGCCUGAACCAGCCAAGUCGCGUGAGGGAUGACGGCCCUACGGGUUGUAAACCUCUUUUGUCGGGGAGCAAAUCCAGUCACGUGUGACUCAUUGAGAGUACCCGAAGAAAAAGCAUCGGCCAACUCCGUGCCAGCAGCCGCGGUAAUACGGAGGAUGCGAGCGUUAACCGGAUUUAUUGGGGUUAAAGGGUGCGCAGGCGGACGUGCAAGUCAGCGGUAAAAUUGCGGGGCUCAACCCCGGACUGCCGUUGAAACUGCAUGCCUUGAGUGCGCGAGAAGUAUGCGGAAUGCGUGGUGUAGCGGUGAAAUGCAUAGAUAUCACGCAGAACUCCGAUUGCGAAGGCAGCAUACCGGCGCGCAACUGACGCUGAUGCACGAAAGCGUGGGUAUCGAACAGGAUUAGAUACCCGGGUAGUC